rnacentral:miRNA from 12 species
GCUGCAUGAGCUCAGCCCUGCAGAGAGCUGCACACUUGUGUCUCCCCUCAUGCUGCUGGGAGCAGAGUGUGCAGCCUCACUGCUGUACUGAAGCACUGCCAGGC